rnacentral:rRNA from 1 species
UACGAAGGGGACUAGCGUUGUUCGGAAUCACUGGGCGUAAAGCGCACGUAGGCGGAUUUGUAAGUCAGGGGUGAAAUCCCGGGGCUCAACCUCGGAACUGCCUUUGAUACUGCGAGUCUUGAGUCCGAUAGAGGUGGGUGGAAUUCCUAGUGUAGAGGUGAAAUUCGUAGAUAUUAGGAAGAACACCAGUGGCGAAGGCGGCUCACUGGACCGGUAUUGACGCUGAGGUGCGAAAGCGUGGGGAGCAAACAGG